rnacentral:rRNA from 1 species
AACGAACGCUGGCGGCAUGCCUAACACAUGCAAGUCGAACGAGAUCUUCGGGUCUAGUGGCGCACGGGUGCGUAACGCGUGGGAAUCUGCCCUUUGGCUCGGAAUAACAGUUGGAAACGACUGCUAAUACCGGAUGAUGACGAAAGUCCAAAGAUUUAUCGCCAGAGGAUGAGCCCGCGUAGGAUUAGCUAGUUGGUGUGGUAAAGGCGCACCAAGGCGACGAUCCUUAGCUGGUCUGAGAGGAUGAUCAGCCACACUGGGACUGAGACACGGCCAGGCCUCCAACGGGGGGAAGCGGGGGGAAAUUUUGGACAAUGGGCAAAGGCCUAACCCAGAAAUCCCGCGUGAGUGAUGAAGGCUUUGGGGUUGUAAAGCUCUUUUCCCCGGGAUGAUAAUGACAGUACCGGGAAAAUAAGCCCCGGCUAACUCCGUGCCAGCAGCCGCCGUAA